GAGAGAGAGAGAGGAGGCGCAGCCCCGCCCCCGCCCGGCAGGAAGUGCGCCCUGGGCCUCUGCGGCUAUCCUCCCAGUGUCCAACCUCGCCUCGCGGAGGCCGCCGCGCGGAGGAAAUGUCUAACGGAAAUCGGAGGUGGAAAAGAGGUUAGAGGAGCCUCUUCCAUUCCACUCGCGUUUACUGAUGCGCCCACCUGCAGCCAGGCUUGGGGCUGGGGGCUUCCAGGACACGCACAAGAGUCAGGGUCUUCUGGCCUCUAAGGCACGCGCAGAAAGAACCCGAAAUAGACGAAAUUACGACCCAUAUCAGAAGAAUAGCAUAAAAGGCGACGAAGCUCAAAGGAGCCGGAGGACAUCGUCUGGGGAACCUGGAACCGGCUUCAAGGAGGCGGUGUGGGGAGUCUUCAGACUCACUAUGAGGUCCCCAUUGUGUCUUGCUUCUGCAGCUGAGCUAGGUUUGUGUAAAGUCACACCUCAGAACAGCGAGCAUAAGUAGAGAGCUACAAAUGACAUGCGACUCUUCAGCUCACACUUUCGCCAAAUACUUUUGAAAGAACCACGAGAUGCAGUCAUGUGUGGACCAAUGCCUGGAGCUGCUGCAGCCAUCUUGUGGCCAUGAGUGGAGAUGUUCCGGAUACCCUGAAGAUAGUUGAGUGGAUAAAUAGAAAGAGCCUGUGUCUUUGGUGGAGCCACUACAUCUAAAUCCAGACUUCUUUUGCAGAAUAUAAACAUCUCUAUGGUGCCAGGCAGUUUAAUUUGAAUCCCUGUGGCUUGCAGAUGAAUUCAUCCUUAUGGAUUCAGAAGACAAGGAAUACAGGGAAGCAGGAGAAAGUCUAAGAAGAGAGUUCACCUUGUGGGUUACAAUGUUCACAGCAGGAGUACCAGCCUUCUGUAACAUGCAAUCUCAAAAGAGGCAACAUCACCUUCAAAAGGAUGUAAAUUGGUUCUUGGAAUUGGGGGUCAAAAAAAAAUCUUAAACAUAAUGAUUUCUGGUCCUCACAAAGCUCAGCCUUAUUCCUUAGUAUUUAAUUUUCUUGUUAGGGAUCAUUUAAACAUAACUAACUCUUCCUCUUCAGGGGCAGUGAUUUUUAAAAAAAAAAAGCAAAUUGAGAAACACUGCUUUACACAGAUGGAGGGCAAACUCUGAGAAAAAGAAUAGAGUUCCUGGCUUCCUAAGGUAGACCUCCUGAUCCUUCUGAAAACCUUGGAAUUCCACUGACACUUCCCAGAUCCUUGCCCUGGGUUCUGCCACCAUGGUAGCUCCAGCCAUGCCAGCUCUGCAGUCCUUCCUGUGCUUUGUAACCCAGGCCUGCAGACACGUCCUCACUGCACAGAGGUAGUGACGGUGUGUAUGCACGAGGCCUUGUUUUUAUGCACAACCUGCUAGCUAUGUAGUGAGAUGGUGCUGGGGACACGGCAAUAAAAUUAUUACUUCACACCCAGAUUAUAGAUCCAGAUGAGGUGACUUGCUAGAGACAGGGCUUCCCCAUUCCUCCCAGCUAUAGAAGGUAAUUAAUUAUGCUGGGGUUUCAGGAUUUUUGUUGUUCUUGUUGAUGUUUCUGAGACGGGGUCUCGCUCUUGUUGCCCAGGCUGGAGUGCAGUGGUGCAAUCUCGGCUCACCACAACCUCUGCUUCCCAGAUUCAAGUGAUUCUCCUGCUUCAGCCUCCUGAGUAGCUGGGACUACAGGCAUGUGCCACCACACCUGGCCAAUUUUUGUAUUUUUAGUAGAGACAGGGUUUCUCCAUGUUGGUCAGGUUGGUCUCAAACUCUCGACCUCAGGUGAUCCGCCCACCUCGGUCUCCCAAAGUGCUGGGAUCACAGGCAUGAGCCACUGCGCUCAACCAGUUUCUGGAUUUUCUGAUUGGCAGGGUAGUAGGCUUGGUGUUCCCCCUCUGCUCCCAUUCAGGGCUUCCUGUGAUGUAGCAGGCAGGAAAACACCACCACCACUACUCAUGAAAAUGGGAGACAGGCUGGGCACGGUGGCUCACACGUGUAAUCCCAGCACUUGGGGAUGCUGAGGCAGGUGGAUCACAUGAGACCAGAAGUUCCAGAUCAGCCUGGCCAACAUGGCAAAACCCCAUCUCUACUUAAAAAAAUACAAAUAUUAGUCAGGCAUGCUGGUGCACAUCUGUAAUCCCAGAUACUCAGGAGGCUGAAGCACAAGAAUAGCUUGAACCUGGCAGGCAGAGGUUGCAGUGAGCCAAGCAUGCCGUUGCUCCCAGCCUGGGUGACAGAGUGAGACCCUGUCUCAAAAAAAAAAAAAAAAGCUACAGUGUCCACUUCUCCUUUCAGCUGAGGCCCAGCUGGGCUUGGGCUAGUCAGACAAGUAAAGAAGGAUGGAAGGAAUAUCUCUCACCUGCAGCUCCAGGUGGUACAGGAAUCAAGGGAUUGUGCAGAGCUGAGUAAAGUGAGGAGCCGAGACCACAGAACCAGAGUCAGGGGUCUGAAUUAGUCACUAAAGCAAGGGAAGUGAUGGUGGUGGCAAAAGCAAAUGUUAAAGGUCAAGAACAGAGCCAGGGUUCAAGACUCAGAAGCAACAGGUGCAGAGAAUAAGCCUGGCAAUCCUGGGCAGCAUCUGGGUGGGCACUCUCAUAGUUAGGAACCAUGGUGCUUGCUGGGGUGGCAUGCAUGGCGUGGCAAGGACAGCCCGAAUGGAAGGCUUCCUUGGAAAGGCUUCUCUGAGCUAGCAGGAGGAUUUGGACAGGGGAAAUGACUUCUCACAAUUCCUUCCUGACCACCCACAUAAUUGGUUCAAAUUAAGCACUAGGUUGUAGAGGUACCAAUUCUUUGUUUCUGGAGGCAGGAUGCUUUCUUGGCAUAGAUAUACUCCCGGAGGAAGGAUGUGGCUAGCAAUAAUUGCCUUCUCUCCUUUUAAUUUUAGAAUAGUUUGGAUUUCCCGAAAAGUUGCAAAGACAGUACAGAGCGUUUCUGCAUACUCCUCACCCCGCAUCUUCAUUGUUAACAUCGUAUAUCAUUCUGGUACAUUUGUCACAACUAAAGAGUCAACAAUGCUGCGUUGCUAUUAACUAAACUGUAUGCUUUAUUCUUAUUUCACUAGAUUUUCCCCCAAAGUUCUUUUUUUGUCCCAAAAUCCCACCCAGGAUACCACAUUACAUUUUGCAGUCAUGUUUCAUUAGCCUGCUCUGGUCUGUGACAGUUUCUCAGACUUUGCUUGCUUAUGAUAGUAUUGACAGUUUUGGGAAAGUUAUUCAUCAGGUACGUUGUAGAUUUCCCCUCAGUUUGGUUUUGUCUGAUGUUGUCCUCGUGGCUAAAGUGGAGUUUGAGGGUUUUUGAGAGGAAGACCGCUGAGGUAAGGUGCCAUUUUUUUUUUUCCCUUGAGAUGGAGUUUUGCUCCUAUUGCCCAGGCUGGAGUGCAAUCAAUGGCUCAAGCUCAGCUCACUGCAACCUCCGCCUCCCAGGUUCAAGCAAUUCUCCUGCCUCAGCCUCUGGAGUAGCUGGGAUUAUAGGUGUGCACCACCAUGCCCAGCUAAUUUUUUGUAUUUUUAGUAGAGACAGGGUUUCACUAUGUUGGCCAGGCUGGUCUCAAACUCCUGACCUCAGGUGAUCUAUCCGCCUCGGCCUCCCAAAGUGCUGGGAUUCCAGGCAUAAGCCACCGCACCUGGCCAGUAAAGUGCCAUUCUAAUAACAUCAUAUGUGUUAAUCUGUGUUGCAUUGCUAUAAAGGAAUACCUGAGACUGGAUAAUUUAUAAAGAAAAGAGGCUUAUUUGGCUCAUGAUUUGCAAGCUUUACAAGAAGCAUAGUGCCGGCAUCAGCUUCUGGUGAGGCUCAGGAAGCUUAUGAGAGAAGACAAAGAAGAAGCCAGCGUAUCACACGGCAACAGAGGGAGCAAGAGAGAGGAGGAGGUCCCAGGUUCACUUAAACAACCAGCUCUCUUGCCAGGUGUUUUGGCUCACACCUGUUAUUCCCAACACUUUGGGAGGCCAAGGUGGGUGGAUCACCUGAGGCCAGGAGUUCAAGACCAAACUGGCCAACAUGGUGAAACCCUGUCUCUACUAAAAAUACAAAAAUUAGUUGGGCAUGGUGGUGCAUGCCUGUAAUCCCAGCUACUCAGGAGACUGAGGCAUGAGAAUCAUUGAACCCAGGAGGUGGAGGUUGCGGGGAGCUGAGAUCGUGCCACUGCAUUCCAGCCUGGGUGACAGAGUGAGACCCUGUCUUAAAAACAGCAAGCUCUCCCAUGAACUAACAGAGUGAGAACUCACUUAUUACCAUGAGGAAGCACCAAACCAUUCAUGAGGGAUCCACGCCCAUGACCCAAACAGUAGGCCCCACCUUCAACAUUGAGGAUCACAUUUCAGUAUGAGAUUGGAGAGGACAGACAUCCAAACUAGAUCACCAUAUCAAGAGCACAUAUCGUCAACAUGGCUUAUCAGUGAGGGCAUUAAACUUAACUGCCUUGUCAAGGUAGUGUUUACCAGGUUUCUCUUCUGUAAAGUUACUCCCCCUCCCUGCUUUCCAGACUCUAGUCUUUGGAAUCACAUCACUAAGCAGGGUUUGGCUCAUUUUUGACAAAUGCUGUUAGGACCCAUUUUCAACUCUUUUUUUUUUUUUUUUUUUUUUGAG